rnacentral:lncRNA from 1 species
AAUCAGCAGCACGAGCAUUCUGCUUCUAUGGCUAUCCACAGAGCCGACCUUAAUUAUUUUCUCUUGAAUCCUACUCGCUUGAACUGAAAGUCUGAAUAGUCUUGAACCAAGCCUGGAUAGGGUUCAACUCGUGAACCUUUUUGAUCUUUUUUUCUUGAUUAUUGAAGAAGCCAAGAACCUUUCUUGAUCUCUCACCUAAUCAAGAAGAACAACAAACAAGAAAUGGUUGUAACUAACUCUCAACAACUUUAGAGAAAGAGAAAGAAACCAAUCAAUUUUGGCACCAACCCUUGACACCAAUGAAAGGAUACUGCCCACUUCUCUUUAAGAUCCA